rnacentral:rRNA from 1 species
UACAGGGGGGGCAAGCGUUGUUCGGAAUUACUGGGCGUAAAGGGCGCGUAGGCGGCCAGCACAAGUCAGUUGUGAAAUCUCCGAGCUUAACUCGGAACGGUCAACUGAUACUGUGCGGCUAGAGUGCAGAAGGGGGCAACUGGAAUUCUUGGUGUAGCGGUGAAAUGCGUAGAUAUCAAGAGGAACACCUGCGGCGAAGGCGGGUUGCUGGGCUGACACUGACGCUGAGGCGCGAAAGCUAGGGGAGCGAACGGG